GACACGCUGGCGGCGUGCUUAACACAUGCAAGUCGAGCGAUGAAGUUUCCUUCGGGAACGGAUUAGCGGCGACGGGUGAGUAACACGUGGGUAACCUGCCUCAUAGAGGGGAAUAGCCUUUCGAAAGGAAGAUUAAUACCGCAUAAGAUUGUAAUGCCGCAUGGCAUAGCAAUUAAAGGAGCAAUCCGCUAUGAGAUGGACCCGCGUCGCAUUAGCUAGUUGGUGAGGUAACGGCUCACCAAGGCGACGAUGCGUAGCCGACCUGAGAGGGUGAUCGGCCACAUUGGGACUGAGACACGGCCCAGACUCCUACGGGAGGCAGCAGUGGGGAAUAUUGCACAAUGGGGGAAACCCUGAUGCAGCAACGCCGCGUGAGUGAUGACGGUCUUCGGAUUGUAAAGCUCUGUCUUUAGGGACGAUAAUGACGGUACCUAAGGAGGAAGCCACGGCUAACUACGUG
rnacentral:rRNA from 1 species